CAUAUCAAAAGCGGAGGAAAAGAAACCAACAGGGAUUGCCCUAGUAACGGCGAGUGAAGCGGCAACAGCUCAAAUUUGAAAGCUGGCUCCGGCCCGCAUUGUAAUUUGCAGAGGAUGCUUCUGGUGAGGUGCCUUCCGAGUUCCCUGGAACGGGACGCCAUAGAGGGUGAGAGCCCCGUAUGGAUGGACACCAAACCUGUGUGAAGCUCCUUCAACGAGUCGAGUAGUUUGGGAAUGCUGCUCUAAAUGGGAGGUAAAUCUCUUCUAAAGCUAAAUACCGGCCAGAGACCGAUAGCGCACAAGUAGAGUGAUCGAAAGAUGAAAAGCACCUUGAAAAGGGGGUUAAACAGUACGUGAAAUUGUUGAAAGGGAAGCGCUUGUGACCAGACUUGCGCCGGGCAGCUCAUCAGGGGUUCUCCCCUGUGCACUCUGCCCGGCUCAGGCCAGCAUCGGUUCUCGUGGGAGGAUAAGAACGGUAGGAACGUGGCCCCCUUCCGGGGGGGUGUUAUAGCCUACCGUACGAUACUCCCGUGGGGACCGAGGUUCGCGCUCCGCAAGGAUGCUGGCGUAAUGGUCAUCAGCGACCCGUCUUGA
rnacentral:rRNA from 1 species